AUACGGAGGAUGCAAGCGUUAUCCGGAUUUAUUGGGUUUAAAGGGUGCGUAGGCGGUUUGCUAAGCGGGAGGUGAAAUGCCGGCGCUCAACGUCGGAAGUGCCUCCCGAACUGGUGGACUGGAAUGACUCUGCCGUGGGAGGAAUGUGUAGUGUAGCGGUGAAAUGCUUAGAGAUUACACAGAACACCGAUUGCGAAGGCAUCUCACGAAGGGUUGAUUGACGCUGAGGCACGAAAGCGUGGGGAUCAAACAGGAUUAGAUACCCUGGUAGUCCACGCUGUAAACGAUGAUGGCUAACCGCUGGUUUAUUCGGAUCAGUGGCCAAGCGAAAGCGAUAAGCCAUCCACCUGGGGAGUACGACCGCAAGGUUGAAACUCAAAUGAAUUGACGGG
rnacentral:rRNA from 1 species